rnacentral:rRNA from 1 species
AUUGAACGCUGGCGGCAGGCCUAACACAUGCAAGUCGAGCGAGCGGCGGACGGGUGAGUAAUGUCUGGGAAACUGCCUGAUGGAGGGGGAUAACUACUGGAAACGGUAGCUAAUACCGCAUACCAUCAGAUGUGCCCAGAUUGGAUUAGCUAGUAGGUGGGGUAACGGCUCACCUAGGCGACGAUCCCUAGCUGGUCUGAGAGGAUGACCAGCCACACUGGAACUGAGACAAGGGCCAGAAGCCCAAGGGGGGCAGCAGUGGGGAAUAUUUGACAAUUGGGGGAAGCCUGGGUCAGGCAUGCCGCGUGUGUGAAGAAGGCCUUCGGGUUGUAAAGCACUUUCAGCGGGGAGGCGUUACCCGCAGAAGAAGCACCGGCUAACUCCGUGCCAGCAGCCGCGGUAAUAC